rnacentral:lncRNA from 1 species
GGACAGUGAACAGCCUUACAAGUGUUCAGAGAUGUGUUGAUUAUUACUAUCUUGAAUGUUCUUUGCCUGAAGUCUUCAUAUUCCUGUGGAUCUGCAGCUGGAGUGAAACCUGGCCAGGGCCCCUGGCCUGCUGAUCAGCCAUUUCCAAAGAAAAAGAUCCCAAAACAUGAAAGGCUCUGAGAAAAUGUUUGAUCCCAGGCAGUAAACUCGGCAACCUUGUCUCUGACCAGCGCUUUGGAAAAGGGACUCAAAGCUUAUCUGGCAGGUUGGUCUGUCCACAUCAAGGACACAUCCUGUCACUCUGGUGAAGAUUCCCUGUGUUCCUUGCUGCACCAAUCAGUGGUUGAAUCAGCAGAGGGGAUGCCACAUCCUAGUCAGAGCACAGGAGCACAUGCAGCCAUUUGAGCACAAACACCUGGCCUUUUCUUCUCACCAGUCUGU